CCCUUAGAUGUUCUGGGCCGCACGCGCGCUACACUGACGAAUGCAACGAGCUUAUAACCUUGGCCGAAAGGUCUGGGUAAUCUCCAAAUUUCGUCGUGAUGGGGAUAGAUUAUUGCAAUUAUUAAUCUUCAACGAGGAAUGCCUAGUAAGCGCAAGUCAUCAGCUUGCGUUGAUUACGUCCCUGCCCUUUGUACACACCGCCCGUCGCUCCUACCGAUUGAAUGGUCCGGUGAAGCGUUCGGACCGUGGCCUUUGGACGGUUCGCCGUCUGUUGGCUGCGGGAAGUUCGUUAAACCUUAUCAUUUAGAGGAAGAAGAANUCGUANCA
rnacentral:rRNA from 1 species